AAUGUGAAGUCAAUUAUGUAAACCUUGAUUUGUUUGAAGUGGAAAGAUUGCAAUCCAAAUCUCAACUUCACAUU